rnacentral:rRNA from 1 species
CAAACGUAUUAAGUAUUCCACCUGGGGAGUACGUUCGCAAGAAUGAAACUCAAAGGAAUUGACGGGGACCCGCACAAGCGGUGGAGCAUGUGGUUUAAUCCGAAGCAACGCGAAGAACCUUACCAAGUCUUGACAUCCCCCUGACAGCCCUUUAACCGGGGAAUUCCUUCGGGACAGGGGAGACAGGUGGUGCAUGGUUGUCGUCAGCUCGUGUCGUGAGAUGUUGGGUUAAGUCCCGCAACGAGCGCAACCCUUAUCCUUAGUAGCCAGCACAUAAAGGUGGGCACUCUGGGGAGACUGCCAGGGAUAACCUGGAGGAAGGUGGGGAUGACGUCAAAUCAUCAUGCCCCUUAUGAUUUGGGCUACACACGUGCUACAAUGGCGUAAACAAAGGGAAGCGACGGGGUGACCCCAAGCAAAUCCCAAAAAUAACGUCCCAGUUCGGACUGUAGUCUGCAACCCGACUACACGAAGCUGGAAUCGCUAGUAAUCGCGGAUCAGAAUGCCGCGGUGAAUACGUUCCCGGGUCUUGUACACACCGCCCGUC